rnacentral:tRNA from 1 species
GCCCGGGUGGCGGAACUGGCAGACGCGGGGGGCUUAAACCCCCCUUCUCCUUCGGGAGAGUGUGGGUUCAAAUCCCACCCCGGGCA